CACGGGGGGAGCAAGCGUUGUUCGGAAUCACUGGGCGUAAAGCGCGCGCAGGUGGUUUCUUAAGUCUGAUGUGAAAGCCCACGGCUCAACCGUGGAGGGUCAUUGGAAACUGGGGAACUUGAGUGCAGGAGAGAAGAGUGGAAUUCCACGUGUAGCGGUGAAAUGCGUAGAUAUCCGGAGGAACACCAGUGGCGAAGGCGACUUUCUGGCCUGUUCUUGACGCUGAGGCGCGAAAGCUAGGGGAGCAAACGGG
rnacentral:rRNA from 1 species